CGCCUCUUGAAUUAUUAUAAGAGGUCCAGCCUGCCCAGUGACCAUGUUCAACGGCCGCGGUAUCCUAACCGUGCGAAGGUAGCGUAAUCACUUGUUCUUUAAAUGUGGACUAGUAUGAACGGCAUCACGAAGGUUAUACUGUCUCCUUUUUCUAAUCAGUGAAACUAAUCUCCCCGUGAAGAAGCGGGGAUAAAAUUAUAAGACGAGAAGACCCUAUGGAGCUUUAAACAAUACAGCACUUACCUAAGAAUCUUAAAUGUUCCUGUAACACUAACUCUUUAAAGUAAAAUGACUGCAAGUUUUUGGUUGGGGUGACCGCGGAGCAUAUCAUAACCUCCAUGUUGAAAGAAUUUUUUCUAAGCCAAGAAUAACCAAUCUAAGCAUUAAUAAAUUAACAUCUAUUGACCCAAUAAAUUUGAUCAACGAACCAAGUUACCCUAGGGAUAACAGCGCAAUCCACUUCAAGAGCUCCUAUCGACAAGUGGGUUUACGACCUCGAUGUUGGAUCAGGGUGUCCCAGUGGUGCAGCCGCUACUAAAGGUUCGUUUGUUCAACGAUUAAAACCC
rnacentral:rRNA from 1 species